GUGCUCGCUUCGGCAGCACAUAUACUAAAAUUGGAACGAUACAGAGAAGAUUAGCAUGGCCCCUGCGCAAGGAUGAUACGCAAAUUCGGGAAACAUAUGAUACAGCU